rnacentral:rRNA from 1 species
UACGAAGGGUGCAAGCGUUACUCGGAAUUACUGGCGUAAAGCGUGCGUAGGUGGUUCGUUAAGUCUGAUGUGAAAGCCCGUGGGCUCAACCUGGGAAUGGCAUUGGAAACUGGCGACCUAGAGUGCGGUAGAGGGUAGUUGGAAUUCCCGGUGUAGCAGUGAAAUGACGUAGAGAUCGGGAGGAACAUCCGUGGCGAAGGCGACUACCUGGACCAGCACUGACACUGAGGCACGAAAGCGUGGGGAGCAAACAGG